GUGAAUCAUCAAAUUUUUGAACGCAAAUUGUACUCUCUGGUAUUCCGGAGAGUAUGCCUGUUUGAGGGUCAGUUUAAAUAAAAAUCGGUGUGGUUGCUGUGUGUCGUGGUGACGGACCGGAUUUGGGUCGUCUUGCGUUCGGUUAAGUGACCUAAAAUGUGGCAUGAUUUUUUUCGAACGUAUUUAAAUUAUUUGAC
rnacentral:misc_RNA from 1 species